GGCGGUGAGUGACACGUGUGGCGCGUUAUUUUCAAAUGCUCGUCGUUUUGGAGCCACGCGUCUUUCUGUCCUCCUCACUGCUCAGGUGUCACCAUCGCUACGUUAUGAAACAGCCAAUCAAGAACAGCCACGUCACAUACCUGCAAAAGGUAACAGGGAGACCCGAGAGCUUCUGUGUGCUGGACCGUCUGACGUUCUUGAUGCAAUGCUCACAAUAACGCUUCGACUGUAUAUUAUUAAAGUACAAC